AUAAGAACAUGAUAUGUUCUGUAGGAUAGUACCUCUAUAACCUUCUGAAGAGACAGGAGUCCAAACCUGGUGGAUGAAUCAUGACCCGUGUAUCAGAGUGUGAUUAACAAUGGCAUGAGUAUUAGUUUGGAUUAUUUCUCAUGGAAAGGUCAAUACUCGUGAUAUGGUUUAGAAGAGAAGAUCUUUGUUUGCCGUUCUGUCCUUUGAUGUACUAUGUGUAAAAUUCAGGGG
rnacentral:sRNA from 1 species